CCUACGGGGGGCAGCAGUGAGGAAUAUUGGUCAAUGGACGCAAGUCUGAACCAGCCAUGCCGCGUGUAGGAAGACGGCUCUAUGAGUUGUAAACUGCUUUUGUGCGAGGGUAAACGCAGAUACGCGUAUCUGUCUGAAAGUAUCGUACGAAUAAGGAUCGGCUAACUCCGUGCCAGCAGCCGCGGUAAUACGGAGGAUUCAAGCGUUAUCCGGAUUGAUUGGGUUUAAAGGGUGCGUAGGCGGUCGGAUAAGUUAGAGGUGAAAUCCCGAGGCUCAACUUGGGAACUGCCCCUGAUACUGGUCGGCUAGAGAGUAGUAGCGGGGGGUAGAAUGUAAGGUGUAGCGGUGAAAUGCUUAGAGAUCA
rnacentral:rRNA from 1 species